rnacentral:rRNA from 1 species
UACGUAGGUGGCGAGCGUUGUCCGGAAUUACUGGGUGUAAAGGGAGCGUAGGCGGCGGGGCAAGUCAGAAGUGAAAGCCCGGGGCUCAACCCCGGGACUGCUUUUGAAACUGUUCUGCUAGAGUGUCGGAGAGGUAAGCGGAAUUCCUAGUGUAGCGGUGAAAUGCGUAGAUAUUAGGAGGAACACCAGUGGCGAAGGCGGCUUACUGGACGAUAACUGACGCUGAGGCUCGAAAGCGUGGGGAGCAAACAGGAUUAGAUACCCCCGUAGUCCCUGAGCGGG